rnacentral:rRNA from 1 species
GCUACUGCCAUCAGAGUUCGAUUAAGCCAUGUUAGUUGAGGGUAUCUCUUCUUCUUCGGAGGGAGAGGGAACCCGGCAGACGGCUCAGUAACACGUGGAUAACCUGCCCUUAGGUCUGGCAUAACCCCGGGGAACUGGGGAUAAUACCGGAUAGACCAGGGGUCGCUGGAAUGCGCCCUGAUCCAAAGCUCCGGCGCCUAAGGAUGGGUCUGCGACCUAUCAGGUUGUAGUGGGUGUAAUGUACCUACUAGCCGACGACGGGUACGGGUUGUGAGAGCAAGAGCCCGGAGAUGGAUUCUGAGACACGAAUCCAGGCCCUACGGGGUGCAGCAGGCGCGUAAACUUUACAAUGCAGGAAACUGCGAUAAGGGAACUCCGAGUGUCUGGGACCUUCUCAGACUGUUCGGAUACCUAAAUAGUAUCUGAUAGUAAGGGCCGGGCAAGACCGGUGCCAGCCGCCGCGGUAACACCGGCGGCCCGAGUGGUAACCAAUAUUAUUGAGCUUAAAGCGCCCGUAGCCGGCUUGGCAAGUCCCUUGGGAAAUCUGACGGCUUAACCGUCAGGCGUCCAGGGGAUACUACCAGGCUUGGGACUGGGAGAGGUAGGAGGUACUUCAGGGGUAGGGGUGAAAUCCUGUAAUCCUUGGGGGACCACCGGUGGCGAAGGCGUCCUACCAGAACGGCUCCGACGGUGAGGGACGAAAGCUAGGGGCACGAACCGGAUUAGAUACCCGGGUAGUCCUAGCCGUAAACGAUGCGGGCUAGGUGUCACAGUAGCCAUGUGCUGCUGUGGUGCCGCAGGGAAACCGUGAAGCCUGCCGCUUGGGAAGUACGUCCGCAAGGAUGAAACUUAAAGGAAUUGGCGGGGGAGCACUACAACGGGUGGAGCCUGCGGUUU